rnacentral:rRNA from 1 species
CAGAUAUCAAACUUGAGAGUUUGAUCCUGGCUCAGAACGAACGCUGGCGGCAGGCUUAACACAUGCAAGU